rnacentral:tRNA from 1 species
GUCUUAAAAGCUAAAAAGCAGUUAAUUUUGUAAAUUAAAAGAUAAAGGGUUUAAAUCCUUUGUAAGACU